AACGAACGCUGGCGGCAUGCCUAACACAUGCAAGUCGAACGAUUGCCUUCGGGUGAUAGUGGCGCACGGGUGCGUAACGCGUGGGAAUCUGCCCUUAGGUUCGGAAUAACAGCUGGAAACGGCUGCUAAUACCGGAUGAUAUCGCGAGAUCAAAGAUUUAUCGCCUGAGGAUGAGCCCGCGUUGGAUUAGGUAGUUGGUGGGGUAAAGGCCUACCCAGCCGACGAUCCAUAGCUGGUCUGAGAGGAUGAUCAGCCACACUGGGACUGGGACACGGCCCAGACUCCUACGGGAGGGAGCAGUGGGGAAUAUUGGACAAUGGGCGCAAGCCUGAUCCAGCAAUGCCGCGUGAGUGAUGAAGGCCCUAGGGUAGUAAAGCUCUUUUACCCGGAAAGAUAAUGACUGUACCGGGAGAAUAAGCCCCGGCUAACUCCGUG
rnacentral:rRNA from 1 species